UACGUAGGGGCAAGCGUUGUCCGGAAUUACUGGGCGUAAAGCGCACGCAGGCUGACUUAUAAGUCGGUAGUCUAAUGCGGAGGCUCAACUUCCGUUUAUCUAUCGAUACUGUAUGACUCGAGUAUAGGAGAGGGUAGUGGAAUUUCCGGUGUAGCGGUGAAAUGCGUAGAGAUAGGAAGGAACACCAGUGGCGAAGGCGGCUACCUGGCCUAAUACUGACACUGAGGCACGAAAGCGUGGGUAGCAAACAGGAUUAGAUACCCGGGUAGU
rnacentral:rRNA from 1 species